rnacentral:rRNA from 1 species
CCUACGGGUGGCUGCAGUAAGGAAUAUUGGUCAAUGGACGAAAGUCUGAACCAGCCAUGCCGCGUGAAGGAUGAAGAUCCUCUGGAUUGUAAACUUCUUUUAUCUGGGACGAAAAAAGGGACUUCUUUCUCACUUGACGGUACCAGAAGAAUAAGCACCGGCUAACUCCGUGCCAGCAGCCGCGGUAAUACGGAGGGUUCAGGCGUCAUCCGGUUUCACGGGGGUGAAGGUGUGCAUUGAUGUGCAGUUAGAAAUCUCCGGGCUUAACCCGGAAACUGCCAUUGAUACUAUCUGUCUUGAAUACUCUGGAGGUAAGCGGAAUAUGUCAUGUAGCGGUGAAAUGCUUAGAUAUGACAUAGAACACCGAUUGCGAAGGCAGCUUACUACGGAGUCAUUGACACUGAGGCACGAAAGCGUGGGGAUCAAACAGGAUUAGAUACCCUUGUAGUC